rnacentral:lncRNA from 1 species
CACGACUAACCCAAAAGAACUGGAAUUGAGACUUCCUUGUUAACUACUUGAAAGCAGGUAUGAUCUAGCGCAUUACCCUAUGGUUCUCUUGCCCAUGUUUUCUACUUGCAAAUGCAUUCUUUCUAAUCGCCAAGAUGUUUUUCUAAGUAUUUCCCAUAAAACUCCAUUAAGUUGUGAUUUAGUGCAUUUCCUCCUAUCAUCUUUAUGGUUCCAUUCUUUAGGAUUCCCUUGCCCACC